AAGUCGUAACAAGGUAACCGUAGGUGAACCUGCGGUUGGAUCAUUAACAAAUUCAACUCUUUGUUAAAGGGGUUUGACCGUGUUUCACAUGUGUUACGCCCCUUUUUCAAACACCCUUAUGUGAACUGUUUAUUGUCUCUGGUGCGGUUAAAUGUAGACUUUGAAGUAUGUGCGUGGGGGGGUGGUACAUUCAUUUGCUACCUACCUCUCUACCCACACCAAACUUUUCGUCUAUGGAGAGACGGUAUCGUCUCUUCACCCACCGUCAAACACUUUAACUAUUAAUGCUAGUCAACAUUCGUCUAACCCAAGUUAAAUUUUUAAUUGAAAAAAACAACUUUUGACAACGGAUCUCUUGGCUCUC
rnacentral:misc_RNA from 1 species